UACGAAGGGGGCUAGCGUUGCUCGGAAUCACUGGGCGUAAAGGGUGCGUAGGCGGGUCUUAAGUCAGGGGUGAAAUCCUGGAGCUCAACUCCAGAACUGCCUUUGAUACUGAGGAUCUUUGGAGUUCGGGAGAGGUGAGUGGAACUGCGAGUGUAGAGGUGAAAUUCGUAGAUAUUCGCAAGAACACCAGUGGCGAAGGCGGCUCACUGGCCCGGUACUGACGCUGAGGUGCGAAAGCGUGGGGAGCA
rnacentral:rRNA from 1 species